GCGGUAUCCUGACCGUGCUAAGGUAGCAUAAUAGCUCGCCUUUUAAUUAAAGGCUUGUAUGAAUGAAUAAACGAGAGAUUAGCUGUCUCUAAAGCACCCCUGAAACUUAACCUAUAUGUGAAAAGGCAUAUAUCCCCCUAAAAGACAAGAAGACCCUGUCGAGCUUAAUUGUCAUUAAUCUGCAAGAAAAGUAAUUUACCCGCGCUGAAAACCAUUUCAAUUUAGUUGGGGCAACAAGGGAACAAAAAAACCUUCCCACAAAAAAUUUUCCUGCCCACACAGACCCCCCACAAGGACUAAUAGAUAAAAGCUACCGCAGGGAUAACAG
rnacentral:rRNA from 1 species